GACGAACCGUGCGAACGUUGUUCGGAAUCACUGGGCUUAAAGGGCGCGAUAGGCGGGUCUCCAAGUCCGGGGUGAAAUCUUUCGGGCUUAAACCGGAAAAGUGCCUGGGAUACUGGAGACCUCGAGGGAGGCAGGGGCGGAUGGAACUUCCGGGUGGAGCGGUGAAAUGCGUUGAUAUCGGAAGGAACGCCGGUGGCGAAAGCGAUCCGCUGGACCUCUUCUGACGCUGAGGCGCGAAAGCCAGGGGAGCAAAACGGGG
rnacentral:rRNA from 1 species